rnacentral:rRNA from 1 species
UACGUAGGGGGCAAGCGUUGUCCGGAAUCAUUGGGCGUAAAGAGCGUGUAGGCGGCCCGAUAAGUCCGCCGUGAAAGUCCAGGGCUCAACCCUGGAAUGCCGGUGGAAACUGUCGGGCUGGAGUCCGGAAGAGGCGAGUGGAAUUCCUGGUGUAGCGGUGAAAUGCGCAGAUAUCAGGAGGAACACCAAUGGCGAAGGCAGCUCGCUGGGACGGUACUGACGCUGAGGAGCGAAAGCGUGGGGGAGCGAACAGG